rnacentral:sRNA from 1 species
ACCCGCUGAACUUAAGCAUAUCAAUAAGCGGAGGAAAAGAAACCAACAGGGAUUGCCCCAGUAACGGCGAGUGAAGCGGCAACAGCUCAAAUUUGAAAUCUGGUCCCCUUGCGGGGCCCGAGUUGUAAUUUGAAGAGGAUGCUUCUGGCAAGGUGCCUUCCGAGUUCCCUGGAACGGGACGCCGCAGAGGGUGAGAGCCCCGUACGGUAGGACGCCGAGCCUCUGUGAAGCUCCUUCGACGAGUCGAGUAGUUUGGGAAUGCUGCUCAAAAUGGGAGGUAAACCCCUUCUAAAGCUAAAUACCGGCCAGAGACCGAUAGCGCACAAGUAGAGUGAUCGAAAGAUGAAAAGCACUUUGAAAAGAGAGUUAAAAAGCACGUGAAAUUGUUGAAAGGGAAGCGCUUGCGACCAGACUCGCGCCCGUCGGAUCAGCCGUCGCUUGUCGGCGGCGCACUCCGGCGGGCUCGGGCCAGCAUCAGUUCGCCUCGGGGGGAGAAAGGCGGCAGGAAUGUGGCUCCUCGGAGUGUUAUAGCCUGCCGUGUAAUACCCCCGGGCGGACUGAGGACCGCGCGUAUGCAAGGAUGCUGGCGUAAUGGUCGUCAGCGACCCGUCUUGAAACACGGACCAAGGAGUCGUCCUAAUAUGCGAGUGUACGGGUGUCAAACCCCUGCGCGUAAUGAAAGUGAACGGAGGUGAGAGCUUCGGCGCAUCAUCGACCGAUCCUGAUGUUCUCGGAUGGAUUUGAGUAAGAGCAUAUUGGGCCGGACCCGAAAGAAGGUGAACUAUGCCUGUGUAGGGUAAAGCCAGAGGAAACUCUGGUGGAGGCUCGCAGCGGUUCUGACGUGCAAAUCGAUCGUCAAACAUGGGCAUGGGGGCGAAAGACUAAUCGAACCUUCUAGUAGCUGGUUUCUGCCGAGUUYYCC